rnacentral:rRNA from 1 species
GAGAAAAGCCUCUAGAUAGAAAAUAGGUGCCCGUACCGCAAACCGACACAGGUAGUCAAGAUGAGAAUUCUAAGGUGAGCGAGCGAACUCUCGUUAAGGAACUCGGCAAAAUGACCCCGUAACUUCGGGAGAAGGGGUGCUCUUUAGGGUUAACGCCCAGAAGAGCCGCAGUGAAUAGGCCCAAGCGACUGUUUAUCAAAAACACAGGUCUCUGCUAAACCGUAAGGUGAUGUAUAGGGGCUGACGCCUGCCCGGUGCUGGAAGGUUAAGAGGAGUGGUUAGCUUCUGCGAAGCUACGAAUCGAAGCCCCAGUAAACGGCGGCCGUAACUAUAACGGUCCUAAGGUAGCGAAAUUCCUUGUCGGGUAAGUUCCGACCCGCACGAAAGGCGUAACGAUUUGGGCACUGUCUCAACGAGAGACUCGGUGAAAUCAUAGUACCUGUGAAGAUGCAGGUUACCCGCGACAGGACGGAAAGACCCCGUGGAGCUUUACUGUAGCCUGAUAUUGAAAUUCGGCACAGCUUGUACAGGAUAGGUAGGAGCCUUUGAAACGUGAGCGCUAGCUUACGUGGAGGCGCUGGUGGGAUACUACCCUAGCUGUGUUGGCUUUCUAACCCGCACCACUUAUCGUGGUGGGAGACAGUGUCAGGCGGGCAGUUUGACUGGGGCGGUCGCCUCCUAAAAGGUAACGGAGGCGCUCAAAGGUUCCCUCAGAAUGGUUGGAAAUCAUUCAUAGAGUGUAAAGGCAUAAGGGAGCUUGACUGCGAGACCUACAAGUCGAG